UUGACCUCGAUCAGGUAGAAUACCCGCUGAACUUAAGCAUAUCAAUAAGCGGAGGAA
rnacentral:rRNA from 1 species